rnacentral:rRNA from 1 species
GAAUAUUGCGCACUGGGCGGCAGCCUUACGCAGUGACACCGCGUGGGGGAUGACAGCCUUACGGUUGUAACCCUCUUUAACCACACACGAAGGCUACCAGUGAUCUGGGGGUGGACGGCAGGUGGUGCAUAAGGUCCGGCUAAAUACGUGCCAGGAGCCGCGGUAAUACGUAGGUUCCAGGCGUUGUCCGGAAUUAUUGGGCGUAAAGAGCUCGUAGUCGGCCUGUCGCGUCUGCUGUGAAAGUCCGGGGCUUAACUUCGGGUGUGCAGUUGAUCCGGGCAGGCUUGAGGUAGGUAGGGGAGACUUGCAUUCCUGGUGUAGCGGUGAAAUGCGCAGAUAUCAGGAGGAACACCGGUGGCGAAGGCGGGUCUCUGGGCCUUACCUGACGCUGAGGAGCGAAAGCGUGGGGAGCGAAC